UACGUAGGGGGCAAGCGUUGUCCGGAUUUAUUGGGCGUAAAGAGCGUGUAGGCGGUCAGGUAGGUCGGUUGUGAAAACUGGAGGCUCAACCUUCAGAGGUCGACCGAAACCCCCUGGCUAGAGUCCGGGAGAGGAGAGUGGAAUUCCUGGUGUAGCGGUGAAAUGCGCAGAUAUCAGGAAGAACACCCGUGGCGAAAGCGGCUCUCUGGAGCGGUACUGACGCUGAGACGCGAAAGCGUGGGGAGCGAACAGG
rnacentral:rRNA from 1 species